rnacentral:rRNA from 1 species
GAUGAACGCUGGCGGCGUGCCUAAUACAUGCAAGUCGAGCGAACAGACGAGGAGCUUGCUCCUCUGACGUUAGCGGCGGACGGGUGAGUAACACGUGGAUAAUCUACCUAUAAGACUGGGAUAACUUCGGGAAACCGGAGCUAAUACCGGAUAAUAUAUUGAACCGCAUGGUUCAAUAGUGAAAGACGGUUUUGCUGCUACUUAUAGAUGGAUCCGCGCCGCAUUAGCUAGUUGGUAGGGUAACGGCUUACCAAGGCAACGAUGCGUAGCCGACCUGAGAGGGUGAGCGGCCACACUGGAAGUGAGACACGGUCCAGACUCCUACGGGAGGCAGCAGUAGGGAAUCUUCCGAAAUGGGCGAGAGCCUGACGGAGCAACGCCGCGUGAGUGAUGAAGGUCUUCGGAUCGUAAAACUCUGUUAUUAGGGAAGAACAAGUGUGUAAGUAACUAUGCACGUCUUGACGGUACCUAAUCAGAAAGCCACGGCUAACUACGU